rnacentral:rRNA from 1 species
AAAGACUUAGUCCUAACCUUGCUGUUAACUAGUGCUAAACAUAUACAUGCAAGUAUCCGCGCCCCAGUGUAAAUGCCCUUAAUUUCUUACCAAGAUGACAGGAGCAGGCAUCAGGCACACUUUCUCAAUGUAGCCCAAGACGCCUUGCUUAGCCACACCCCCACGGGUACUCAGCAGUAAUUAACAUUAAGCAAUGAGUGUAAACUUGACUUAGCUAUAGCACUCACCCAGGGUUGGUAAAUCUUGUGCCAGCCACCGCGGUCAUACAAGAAACCCAAGCUAACAGCACACGGCGUAAAGAGCGGGUUCUUACCUAUCUAAAUAAUUAGGAUUAAAUCGCAACUAAGCUGUCAUACGCCCAAGGUGCGUCUAAAUCUACCCUUAAAAUGAUCCUAACCCUCCCGAUCAACUAACCCCCGCGAAAGCCAAGGCUC